rnacentral:rRNA from 1 species
AGUGAACGCUGGCGGUAGGCCUAACACAUGCAAGUCGAGCGGCAGCACAGUAAGAGCUUGCUCUUACGGGUGGCGAGUGGCGGACGGGUGAGGAAUACAUCGGAAUCUACUUUUUCGUGGGGGAUAACGUAGGGAAACUUACGCUAAUACCGCAUACGACCUACGGGUGAAAGUAGGGGAUCUUCGGACCUUGCGCGAUUGAAUGAGCCGAUGUCGGAUUAGCUAGUUGGCGGGGUAAAGGCCCACCAAGGCGACGAUCCGUAGCUGGUCUGAGAGGAUGAUCAGCCACACUGGAACUGAGACACGGUCCAGACUCCUACGGGAGGCAGCAGUGGGGAAUAUUGGACAAUGGGCGCAAGCCUGAUCCAGCCAUACCGCGUGGGUGAAGAAGGCCUUCGGGUUGUAAAGCCCUUUUGUUGGGAAAGAAAAGCAGCAGGUUAAUACCCCGCUGUUCUGACGGUACCCAAAGAAUAAGCACCGGCUAACUUCGUG